UGCCUGUACCAUAACCGACACAGGUGGGUAAGUAGAGUAUACUAAGGGGCGCGAGAUAACUCUCUCUAAGGAACUCGGCAAAAUAACUCCGUAACUUCGGGAGAAGGAGUGCCUUAUUCUUAAGGUUGCAAUAACAAGAUCCAAGCAACUGUUUAUCAAAAACACAGGUCUCCGCUAAGUCGUAAGACGAUGUAUGGGGGCUGACGCCUGCCCAGUGCCAGAAGGUUAAAGAAGUCGGUUAGCAAUAGCAAAGCUGGUAACUGAAGCCCUGGUGAACGGCGGCCGUAACGAUAACGGUCCUAAGGUAGCGAAAUUCCUUGUCGGGUAAGUUCCGACCCGCACGAAAGGCGUAAUGAUUUGGAUGCUGUCUCGGAGAGGGGCUCGGUGAAAUAGACUUGUCUGUGAAGAUGCGGACUACCUGCACCAGGACAGAAAGACCCUAUGAAGCUUUACUGUAACUUGAAAUUGAAAUUGGACUUUAUUCGCGCAGUAUAGGUGGGAGGCGUUGAUUAUAAUCUUGUGGGAUUAUUGGAGCCAUCAGUGAGAUACCACUCUUGUAAUGUUAGAUUUCUAACUUUGAAUCAUUAUCUGGUCAAAGGACAGUUUCAGGCGGGCAGUUUGACUGGGGCGGUCGCCUCCUAAACGGUAACGGAGGCGUACAAAGGUUUCCUCUGAACGGUUAGAAAUCGUAUCUAGAGUGUAAAGGCAUAAGGAAGCUUGACUGUGAGACCUACAAGUCGAGCAGGGACGAAAGUCGGUCUUAGUGAUCUGACGGUACUGAGUGGAAAGGCCGUCACUCAACGGAUAAAAGUUACUCUAGGAUAACAGGCUGAUCUCCCCCAAGAGUUCACAUCGACGGGGAGGUUUGGCACCUCGAUGUCGGCUCAUCGCAUCCUGGGGCGGUAGUACGUCCCAAGGGUUGGGCUGUUCGCCCAUGAAAGCGGUACGCGAGCUGGGUUCAGAACGUCGUGAGACAGUUCGGUCCAUAUCCGGUGUAGGCGCUAGAAUAUUGAGAGGAGCCUUCUUUAGUACGAGAGGACCGAGAAGGACAUACCUCUGGUGUACCAGUUAUCGUGCCAACGGUAAACGCUGGGUAGCUAUGUAUGGAGUGGAUAACCGCUGAAAGCAUCUAAGUGGGAAGCCCACCUCAAGAUAAGUAUUCUCAUCACGUAAGUGAGUAAGGUCACGGUAAGACUAACCGUUUGAUAGGCAUUAAGUGUAAGUACAGUAAUGUAUGUGCUGAGAUGUCCUAAUAGACC
rnacentral:rRNA from 1 species